rnacentral:rRNA from 1 species
AGUGAACGCUGGCGGUAGGCCUAACACAUGCCAGUCGAACGGCAGCACAGUAAGAGCUUGCUCUUACGGGUGGCGAGUGGCGGACGAGUGAGGAAUACAUCGGAAUCUACUUUUUCGUGGGGGAUAACGUAGGGAAACUUACGCUAAUACCGCAUACGACCUACGGGUGAAAGCAGGGGAUCUUCGGACCUUGCGCGAUUGAAUGAGCCGAUGUCGGAUUAGCUAGUUGGCGGGGUAAAGGCCCACCAAGGCGACGAUCCGUAGCUGGUCUGAGAGGAUGAUCAGCCACACUGGAACUGAGACACGGUCCAGACUCCUAUGGGAGGCAGCAGUGGGGAAUAUUGGACAAUGGGCGCAAGCCUGAUCCAGCCAUACCGCGUGGGUGAAGAAGGCCUUCGGGUUGUAAAGCCCUUUUGUUGGGAAAGAAAAGCAGCAGGUUAAUACCCCGCUGUUCUGACGGUACCCAAAGAAUAAGCACCGGCUAACUUCGUG